rnacentral:rRNA from 1 species
GACGAACGCUGGCGGCGUGCUUAACACAUGCAAGUGGAGCGACGAACCAGGCUUCGGCCUGGGGCAGAGCCGCGAACGGGUGAGUAACACGUGGGUAACCUACCCCGAUGACCGGGACAACCCGAGGAAACUCGGGCUAAUACCGGAUGUUCUCAACUCUCAUAAGUGAGAUGAGGAAAGAUAGCUUCGGCCUUCGCAUCGGGACGGGCCCGCGGCGCAUUAGCUUGUUGGUGGGGUAACGGCCACCAAGGCGACGAUGCGUAGCUGGUCUGAGAGGACGAUCAGCCACACUGGGAC